UACGAAGGGGGCUAGCGUUGUUCGGAAUUACUGGGCGUAAAGGGCGCGUAGGCUGUGCUGUAAGUCAGGCGUGAAAGGCCCGGGCUCAACCUGGGAACUGCGUCUGAUACUGGAUGGCUUGAAUUCGGGAGAGGGAUGCAGAAUUCCAGGUGUAGCGGUGAAAUGCGUAGAUAUCUGGAGGAAUACCGGUGGCGAAGGCGGCAUCCUGGACCGACAUUGACGCUGAUGAGCGAAAGCUAGGGGAGCAAACGGG
rnacentral:rRNA from 1 species